rnacentral:lncRNA from 1 species
GGUAUGUGGGGGAUAGUAUGGCUUAUUGGGGGGUGGUGGCGACUUAUAAAUUGGAGUGUGUGGAGGGUAGUGUGGCUUCUUGGGUGGUGGUGGUGAUUUGUAAACGGGAGUUGGUGGUGGUGGCGACUUAUAAACCGGGGUGUGUGGGAGAGAGUAUGGCUUCUUGGGUGGUGGUGGUGACUUGUAAACCGGAGGGUGUGGAGGGUAGUAUGGCUUCUUGGGUGGUGGUGGAGAUUUAUAAACUGGUACAGGAUGAUAUGGUGUUGGUGAAGGGUGGUAUGGCUUCUUAGGUGGUGGUGGAGACUUAUAUACAGGGUGAUGGGGUGGUGAUGGAUAGACAUGCACUGGUGGAGGAGGAGACUUGUAGAGGUAUGGUUUCUUAGGUGGUGGUGGAGAUGAGUAUUGAU